rnacentral:lncRNA from 1 species
CAGAAGGGAUCUUCCCCCAUGACCAAAACACCUCCCACCAGGCUCCCCCUGCAACAUUCCCCAAUGUUGAUUAAAUUAAAUGGGAUUAAUAUUCAACAUGAGAUUUGGUGGGAACAUAUAUUGAAACUAUAUCAUACUAUAAGGCUGAAUACAGUACGUGGCAUUAUACAUCUGUCCAAACCAUAGAAUGUAUACCACCAAAGGUGAGCCCUAAUGUAAACUAUGAACUUUAGGUUAUGAUGAGGAGCCAGUGUGGGUUCAUUGAUUGUAACAAAUAUACCACUAUGGUGCUUGAUGUUGAUAGUUGGGGAGGUUACACAUGUGUUGGGGUAGACAAUAAAUGGGGAAUCUCUGUAUCUUUCACUCAAUUUUGCUGUGAACCUAAAACUGCUCUAAACAAUAUAAAGUCUUUAAAAAAUAAUAUACUUUAUUUUUUGAUAAGUUUUGGGUUUACAAGACAAUUGAACAGAAGGCACAGAGAGUUCCUAAAUACUCACUCAACCCAAACACACCUCCUGGUUUCCCUUAUUAUUAACAUCAUGCAUUAGUGUGGUACACUUGUUACAAAUGAUGAGCCAAUCUUGAUACAUUAAUAUUAAAGUCCAUAGUUUAAGGUUCACUCUUAGUAUUAUACACUUCUAUGAGUUUUGACAAAAACCCUAUCACAUGCAUCUACCACUACAGUAUCAUAUAGAAUAGUUUCACUGUUCUGAAAAUCACCUGUGCUCCACUUAUUCAUCCUUUCUUCACCUCUUUCCUCGGAACCCCUAGCAAUCACUGAUCUUUUUAUUGUCUCCACAGGUUUGCCUCUUCCAGACUGUCAUAUAGUUGUAAUCUUAUAGUAUAUAGCCUUUUCAGAUUGGCUUUUCUUACUUAGCAAGUUUCCUCCAUGUCUCCUCACAGUGUGAUAGUUCAUUUCUUUUUAUUACUGAAUAAGAUUUCAUUGUAUGGAUGUACCACCGUUUGUUUACCUAUUUACCUAUAUUGGUUGCUUUCAAGUUUUAGCAAUUAUGAAUAAACUGCUAUAAACAAAAGACAUCAAAUCAACCUAGAUGCCAUGAACAGCAGACUGGAUGAAGAAAAUGUGGUACAUAUACACCAUGGAAUACUGCACAGCUACUAAAAAAAAAAUGAGAUCCUGGCCUUUGCAGCAACAUGGAUGGAGCUGAAGGCAUUAUCCUAAGCAAAGUAAUGCAGAAACAGAAAACCAAAUACUGCAUGUUCUGACCUAUAAGUGGGAGCUAAACAUUGAGUAUACAUGAACACAAAAAAAGGAUCAAUAGACAUUGGGGCCUAUUUGAGGGUGGUGGGUGAGAGGAGGGUUAAGAUUGAAAAACUACCUAUCAGGUAUUAUCCUGAUUACCUGGGUGACAAAAGUAUCUGUAUACCAAACCCUUGGGACAUGCAAUUUACCCAUGUAAUGAAUUUGCACCUGCACCCCUGGAACCUAAAAAAAAGCUGGAAAGAAAAAAAAAAGAUAAAACUUAUAAUUAAAAAAAAACUGAGGUAGGAAAUUAAAGAAAAAAAUAAAAAAUAGAAUUAAAAAGAGAAAAACAAACUUUCUAUAUUAGGCUGACUCAUCCCAAAGGCAGUAACAGGCAAAGCCUGGACCCAGGCGAAGUCUCAAUAACAUUAUCAAAGAAGCCAGGGCUCAGAGGAAUGUGCUCUAGAGACUCUCCCAGCACUCUCUCAAAAUAAGGAGAAGAAAACAAAUUUCCCUUUCCCCUAUGAUAUGAGUAAACUUAUGAGUUUAUAGAUUCCUGUUUUCUGUAACUAGUAACUUCAAGUAUUCUGUUUUAUCUAAGCAGCACAGUGAAAGUUAUAAGACAUGCCUGAGCAGGCCUGGGCUGCAGCCAUCUAGGUGCCAUAGCAAAGGUUAUGAGAUAAACCCGUGCAAGGCACUAGAGCAAGCCUGGAUAACAGCCAUCUAGACCUCAUAGCAAGAGUUGCAUGUAAUCCUGAGUUAUGAACCUGUCACAAUUUGAUUAACUGCCUUUGUUCUGCCUCUGUCUCCUUGCUUUCACACCACUACACACUACUAUAAGCUUAUUCCAAGCUAGCCCACCCCCUUUUAGAAGUGUGUAUAAAAGUCAAGUGCUGUCUUUGUUCUAGGCCCAGUUUUUGGAUGUUAAUCUGCUAAGUCUAAGUGCACUCAAUAAACAUCCUACUAUUUCACCCCGUAGUCUCUCUAGUCCUCCUCAUUCCCACAACAAAACAAAACAAAAUGAAACUGCCAUAAACAUUUGUAUGUGGGGCUUUGUAUAAACAUGUUUUCAAUUCAUUGGGGUAAAUACCAAGGAGCAAAACUGCUGUAUCAUAUGGUCAGAGUAUGUUUAGUUUUGUGAAUAUUGCCAAUCUGUCUCCCAAAGUUGCCAUAUCAUUUUGCAUUUCCAUCAGCAAUACAUGAGAGUUCCUCUUGCUCCACAAACUCACCAGCAUUUGGUGUUUUAGUGUUUUUGAGUUUUAGUUGUGUGGUGGUUUAUCAUUGUUGUUUUAAUUUGCAAUAUCUUAAUGACAUGUUGUGUUGAGGAUCUUUCUCUAUGCUUAUUUGCCAUUUGUAUAUCUUCUUUGAUGAGAUGUCCAUUCAGAACUUUUGGCUAUUUUUCAAUUGGGUUGUUUGUUUUCUUAUUGUUAAGUUAUAAGAGUUCUUUGUUGAAUUCUUUGGCUAUCAGUCCUUAUGUGUUUUGCAAAUAUUUUCUUCCAGUCUGUGGCUUGUCUUUUCAUGUUCUUAAUAGCAUCUUUCACAGAGAAGUUUUUAAAAUUUUAAUAAAGUCUAUUGAUGAAAA